UGAAAUGCAGGGAAGAAAGCUUGAAAAACCUUGAUCAAUGUAAGUUGUUUUCUAAAAUAACUUAAUUUUUUAUAUUAUAAAUUUAUAAUUCAAUUAGAAGGGUUUUUUAGUUAGUGACAGGUUGGUAAAAUACUCAAACUAUAUAUGAUAUGAUAAACUCAUCCAAUAGAAGUAUUGGUUUAAUGUAGUAAAAGCUGCAAUAUCAAGGUAAAUCAUUAAAAAUCAACAAAAUAUAAAUCAC
rnacentral:lncRNA from 1 species